GACGAACGCUGGCGGCGUGCUUAACACAUGCAAGUCGAACGGAGUGGCGAACGGGUGAGUAACACGUGGGUGAUCUGCCUUGCACUUCGGGAUAAGCUUGGGAAACUGGGUCUAAUCCCGGCUCGUGCAAGAUGGGCUCGCGGCCUAUCAGCUUGUUGGUGGGGUAAUGGCCUACCAAGGCGUCGACGGGUAGCCGGCCUGGGAGGGUGGACGGCCAAAUUGGGACGAGGGUACGGGCCAGACUACGACGGGCGGAAGCAGUGGGGAAUAUUGCACAAUGGGCGGAAGCCGGAUGCAGCGACGCCGCGUGGGGGAUGAAGGCCUUCGGGGUGUAAACUCCUUGCGACAGGGACGCGGUACCUGUAUAAGAAGCACCGGCUAACUACGUGCCAGCAGCCGCGGUAAUUC
rnacentral:rRNA from 1 species